CACGUAGGGAGCAAGCGUUGUCCGGAUUUAUUGGGCGUAAAGAGCUCGUAGGCUGUUCGAUAAGUCGGGUGUGAAACCUCCAGGCUCAACCUGGAGACGCCACCCGAUACUGUCAUGACUAGAGUCCGGUAGGGGAGCGUGGAAUUCCUGGUGUAGCGGUGAAAUGCGCAGAUAUCAGGAGGAACACCAGCGGCGAAGGCGGCGCUCUGGGCCGGUACUGACGCUGAGGAGCGAAAGCGUGGGUAGCGAACAGG
rnacentral:rRNA from 1 species